rnacentral:rRNA from 1 species
UACGUAGGAGGCGAGCGUUGUCCGGAAUCACUGGGUGUAAAGCGCGUGUAGGCGGCCUGCCAAGUCUGCUGUGAAAGCGCCGGGCUUAACCGGGCGAGGUCGGUGGAAACUGGCGGGCUGGAGGACGGUAGAGGGGGGUGGAAUUCCCGGUGUAGUGGUGAAAUGCGUAGAGAUCGGGAGGAACACCAGUGGCGAAGGCGGCCCCCUGGGCCGCUCCUGACGCUGAGACGCGAAGGCGCGGGGAGCGAACGGG